rnacentral:lncRNA from 1 species
AAACACAUCCAUUAAAUAUUUAUAUAAUUUAAUAAAUAUUUAAAUAUUAAUUAAAAAUCAUGAUUGUUACAUCAUUCUCUCCUUACAAGGAUUUUGUCCUCAGAAUCACAACUCAAACCACUCAUUCGUUACAGGGGUAACCUCUCUUUUAUAGUGCAACGGAUGGAGAAGGUUUGGGAAAGUUUGGCAGAUAAUUAGGCAAGUAUGACAAAUAAUGCGGCCACCCAACCCACUAUAAUUCACCAACUUUCAAUUUCCACCAAUCAAAGUGGUCCCAUGGGAGAAAACAAGGCACAUGAAUACAGAAGAAAAUAAAUUAAUCUUCCCACCUUUCUUUUCUUCUCUGCCUAAUUCUUUUACAUUCAAAGCCUAACUCCUCCCAUUUACUUAUGGGAGAGGACCCACCCAUUUGGAAAACUUAGUUUGCAGGAAGAGUUUGAA